rnacentral:sRNA from 1 species
ACACGAGAGAGGAGGUGGUCCAACAGUGAAUUGCUAUCGGACUCGUGAGGUGGCUGUCCGCUAGGACCACCGACCGGACAGAUGUGGUUGGGCCGGCUGCGCAACACGGCUGACACCAGCACCGCUGGUGCCGUAGACGCGCGGUGUGGUCGGCGAAUACCAGGCAGUCACCCGGCCCCCGGAGCUCUCAGGGACCUCGUCCGACCCUGAGCCCGCGCCCUUGACGGAGCGCGGGAGACGCCCGGGGGUCGCAUCAU